AUUGAACGCUGGCGGCAUGCUUUACACAUGCAAGUCGAACGGCAGCGCGGGCUUCGGCCUGGCGGCGAGUGGCGAACGGGUGAGUAAUGCAUCGGAACGUGCCCAGCAGUGGGGGAUAGCCCGGCGAAAGCCGGAUUAAUACCGCAUACGACCUGAGGGUGAAAGCGGGGGACCGAAAGGCCUCGCGCUAUUGGAGCGGCCGAUGUCGGAUUAGCCAGUUGGUGGGGUAAAGGCUUACCAAGGCGACGAUCCGUAGCUGGUCUGAGAGGACGACCAGCCACACUGGGACUGAGACACGGCCCAGACUCCUACGGGAGGCAGCAGUGGGGAAUUUUGGACAAAGGGGGCAACCCUGAUCCAGCCAUGCCGCGUGCGGGAAGAAGGCCUUCGGGUUGUAAACCGCUUUUGUUCGGGAAGAAAUCCUCUGGGCUAAUACCCCGGGGGGAUGACGGUACCGGAAGAAUAAGCACCGGCUAACUACGUG
rnacentral:rRNA from 1 species